UUUUUAAAAAUUUGGAACAGGAUUGGCAAUGUUGGUGAUCCUUUCGUUACUUUGUAAACAUCUACUUUCCAUUGAAAUAGCACAUUUCCGGUAUAAAUGUUCUGGAUGUUUUUCUUUACUGGAUGCAUCUGUGUGUUCAAACUGUUCAGAAGUUGAUAUCAGAGAUUAAAAUAUAUCACUGGAUUUUACCCCCUCUGGCAGCAUAACAGGAA